rnacentral:tRNA from 1 species
ACCUUUUUAGUUUAAAAAGAACACAGCAUUUUCGAAGCUGAAGAUUGAAAGGAA